UCCGGUUUGUCACCGGCAGUCUCCCUAGAGUUCCCGACCGAAUCGCUGGCAAAUAGGGACAAGGGUUGCGCUCGUUACGGGACUUAACCCAACAUUUCACAACACGAGCUGACGACAGCCAUGCAGCACCUGUCACUCGGUUCCCGAAGGCACUCCGCCGUCUCCGGCAGAUUCCGAGGAUGUCAAGGGUAGGUAAGGUUCUUCGCGUUGCAUCGAAUUAAACCACAUGCUCCACCGCUUGUGCGGGCCCCCGUCAAUUCAUUUGAGUUUUAACCUUGCGGCCGUACUCCCCAGGCGGUCGACUUAUCGCGUUAACUGCGCCACAAAGUCCGCGAGGGACCCAACGGCUAGUCGACAUCGUUUACGGCGUGGACUAC
rnacentral:misc_RNA from 1 species